AAUGGAACUUUCGAUUGAUCCCGGAACUGGGGAUCCUCUGGAUGCAGAUAUUAUCUCUAUAGACCCCAAUAUUCUCUACUAUAGACCCCAAUAUUCUCUAUAGACCCCAUGGAUUAUCAUUCAUAAGAUGUAGGUCCCUUAUAGAGAGAUCGUAUCAAUUUUUCUCAAAGAAAGGACAGGUUGGUUUCACUGAUGCGCUGUUCAGUUCAAACAGGGCAUAGGUCAACUAUAUAUGGUAUUCCCUUGUCGCGUUAUUUCUUUUUCGUUUCUGAGGUGUGUGUAUGGGAUCCUAAGUAGUAGGCGAUAAAAUGACUUGUUUCUCCGUUGAUCAAGUAUGCUACUAAUUUCUCUCUACCUGUCAUUAUGGUUUGUGCUUAUGGUCUGUAGGAGCACGCAUGCAAGAAGGAAGUUUUAGCUUGCUAGCAAAUGAAUGGCCAAAAUCUACUCUGCUUCAUCUAAUUAGCAAUCAGAUUCAAAGUUCAUCAUUUAUCUCAUAAUAAACAAUUCUGACAUCUACAACUACAGGUGGAGUAACAGCCGGUUGGGCAAUAUAAUUAUUGCUUAACCUACCGCCUACAUUGCAUUUGCGAGUCGCGAGUCAAAGAAGAGUUAUUGAAUAAACACAUUUCUUUCAUAAGGGUCAUACCGCUCCGUGGGGUUUCACAAGCAUCUGAGUCGUAAUAAAGGAAGGUCUAUUUCACUUUUACCCAAUGUAGUAGCACGUCAUCUUUUACAGGUGUUCGUUCUGGGUGAGUGAUUUUAGCUCCAAGGUUUCUUUCCCUUGAAUCCAAGCCAAGUUCUUCGACAGUCGAGUAUGCUUUUUUUGGACUGUCAUUCGGGUGUGAAUUAUUAACUACACUUCUUUUUCUGAGUUUCUUCAAGUCUUCCCCAUUAGAUUGAUAGGUAAGGCGGAUGCCCAUUCCGUGUGUAACUAUGCGGGGACUAGCUCAAAGUAAUGACCAGAAUUGACGACUGUUCCACUUGACAACUUUCUCUAUACCAUAUGUUCGGCGGAGGAAGCACUUUCACUCAAGAAGAACGAGUCUCAUAGCCGGUUUUUUUUCCUUUGAUUAUGGGAAAUCUACUUUAUGCCCCAAAGACGGUGUUGUGUUACUUGGAUCAGUGGAAAGAUACUAACAGCCCCCACCAAGAAGUGGACUGGCAUUUAGAUAGACGAAGCUCUUCGUGGGUGGACAACCCUGAAACCAUUCUACGAGACAGAACCAUUCCAUCGAAUCAGGCAAUGGAACAAGUUAACCCCAGAAGAAGAAAGUCCCUCUCUUUGUAGUGAUUCCAUCAAGAUUCACAUAGAUCGAUCAUAGGCCCGCCUGUGCGGGGAGAAAUCAAAGACAUAGUCUCAAGCGAUGAGGAAAGCGAGUUUUUUUGCAAAGCUAACCGAAGUUCAGGUCUUAAUUCUAUUCGGCUGGCAUUGUCUUCUGUAACUGCUGUCAUUUAUAUUUUACUGAAAUAGAGACUUUCAUUGAGACUUUCACAUCAGACUUCCCUAAACGGAGACUUCGUACCAUGAUUAGCAGACGCUUCUAAACUCUAUCGAUUGAAAGCAGACGAGUGGAAUAUUUCCUGACCUUGCAAAGCUAUAGCGCUAGCCAGAGAAAAACCCUUGACAUCCCCAGCGAGAGGAGUAUUCCCCCAGCUAGAGGAAUAUUCAAAGGAGGUCUAAUCAACUCGCCCUAAAGCAUACUCGCUCUUAUAAAGUGCUCCCAGAGAAGAGAGAGGCCUUACGACAGCUAAUUGUAGCCGAUUCGUGAACAGACGAUUUGCCACAUCGUUGAAUAGCAACAUCCUUCUUAUUACAGCAAAAACCGUUUCUGGGUCUUGAGGUAUCGGAUCAACCCUUCUUCAGGUGGUAGGUACUGUCACAAUGUAACCAGCAGCUCUUCAUAAAUGGAAAAAUCAUCUUGGAGUUUCAGAGGGGCAAUAAGGAGACUAAAGCACCUAUAACUACAGAAUUGAGAGAAAGAGUCAAAUACUAACCUAUAAGGCAAGAAAGUCAGGCAGGAGUGGAAGAGGCAAACUCCCCUGCAAUGCUGAAGUGUGAGCGUACAGUCAGUCGCAGACCCGAACAUGGGCACUUAAGCUACAACUCCAGUGAAUGAGGCAGGAUCGCCAGACUCGAGCUAACAGGCAAGAUGUCAGAUCUGUGUUUGACUUCCUAGUUGCAUUUUGACAUUCUUUUUCUCAUUAGUUAGGUUCUCUUUUUCCUAUUACCUUUAUUCUUGUUGCUAGUGCUCUUAGACCUUCUUCCUAUUAUAGUGCUCUUAGACCUUCUUCCUAUUAUAGUAGAUGCACUCUGGCAAUUACGUAUAGGGCCUCAGUUCACUGAUACUAAUACUAACAAGCAAGAACGUCCCUAAGCAAAUGCAGAAUUCAAAGAAGAAGCGGGAGAUCCAUAUGGGAAAUCAAGACUUCAGGUAAAUAGGAGUGAGGUCAGGCUCAAACUACAAAAAGUAAGGCUGUUGGGUAGCAUUUACAGAAUGUAAAUAAGUAGUGCUAGGAUGGUUGUUGGCCCUGUUAUCAGCAGCCCAAGACCUGUUAACGCUAGUGUAAUUCCUAGAUUGGAGUUCUUGUAUUGGUAGCCUGGGUCCCAUUAGUAGUAGGCCGGCUCCUAGUCCCUAUUGGUUGUCUUAGCUGUAGGAGUUUAGCCCUUAGACUCCUUUCUUGCAUUCCGACUACUGAGUUACAGUCGGAUACUUACCACUAUAAUUAUAGCUCGAUGGCUUGAGUUCUCAUUUAUUACUUAUUACCCCGCAACCUUAUUCUUGCUUUUGCAAGUUGGUAAAGUACAGAGUCUAGUCUCGGGUAAUGAAUAAGCAUCCGAGGUUGGUGCUCUAGCUCAGGGUAUAGUUCCGACAGGGUCUUACUUUUACGGAUGGGAUUCUUUAACUACCCAAGCAAGGAUAAGACAAACAGGUAACUCAACCCACAAGGAAGAGAAUCCAAACAAGGUGAGUCAAAGAAUUCAAGUAAGUGGUUUUAGUUUGGAAGCAAUGCAGUCUAUAGGUUUUGGUAGUAGUUGAGGUCGAUUCAGUGUCUCCAGGUGAAGUCAGUCCUGUUUGCCCUGUUCGUAAUCCUAUGUUGUAAUAGAAUCCAUUUUCUCAUGCCCACGGAGAGCGGUCAGGUAAAGUAUCCAGUUAAGUUAAUGCGCUCGAAGUCAAGUGGUAUUUUAUGGAGAGGGUGUAUGCUAUACAAAGCUUGGCUCAUAGCAGUUUUCCAAGAAGAAAGGACUCGGUAAUGGCAACCAACUAAUAUAUUAUAAGAGACAGUUUCGUUUAUUUUCCAUUGUGGACUCGGUAAUAACAAGUGAUCACUUCUUUCUUGUUUGCUUUGCCUUCGGGUUCUCUAUCUCCCGAAAACAGAACCAUUUGCUGCAUACUUCCCUGAUCCUGCUCUUCCAACUGUUUCUUCUACUAGUCCUAGAGCUAGAACAGGUUGUUCUUCUGCCUAAGCUUGUUAUCGAGCAAUGAGUAUAGAUUUGUGUAAAUGGAAAGCAUCUAAUUCCUCACCUGUUCUUUGAACUUCCACUCCAUUUUCUACUGGACCUCGAACGGAUUCUUCGGGAGCUUGCUUGUUUAUUCAAUCUCAUUUGAUAGAAGCAAAGUUACUAAACACUGAUGAUUACUUUAAGUAAGGGUAAGGCGGUAAAUCAAGUUGUUAACUAAAGUCAAAAGGAAGAAAGAGGAGCUUUAAGAAAAGAAUGGAAUUUCAGUAACCCCACACAGCUUGAAGGUAGAGCUUGUAUAUAAGGGCAAGGCAAGGGUCUAUUUGAUUAAGAAUAAAUGAACUAGAAGAGCGCUUAAUGGGGAAUAUUUCCUCUACCUUUUACUACUUGCUUCAUUUUCUCAUUGCUUAACACAGUUGUUAUAUUAAAUACCGGGCCAAGUAACU
rnacentral:lncRNA from 1 species